CGGGGGCUGCCCCGGGAGGGCGGAGGGUUUGCUGCAGAAGCCAGCCAGCCAGCCCGCAGCCCUGAGGCUAGACUGGGGCCCGGAGAUCCUGCCGCUCUCCACCCUGGUGGGCCCUGUCCUCCGACUCCACCAGCCUUCCCCUAGUCAGAGAACUGAAAGUAGCAAGGCUGGCUGCGGGGAUAGGGGAGUAUGGGCCCCACCAGAGGGUAGACUGGGGCGUAUGGGGGAGGGCUGUUCAGGGGUCAGGCCAGGUUGGAUGGCUCUGGAACAAGAGCAAAGAAAUGGACUCCUUCCCCCCCCCACCCCCCCGCAGAAGGGCGCUGGGGUCCCUGUCCUGGCCUGAAGCCUAACUCCCUGCUCCAUAAAAACACAGGUAAAGAGGGGCAGUCUGGCCAUGGGGUGCAACCCCAGCAAACGCGCAGCGCCUCCAAAUGGAAACUAGUGCCUGCAGUUCCCUGACGCCCCCCCCCCCACGCCCCAUGGAAGCUCUACUUUAGGUCCAGGGUCCAGCUACCUGUCACCACCAUAAACCAAAGAAGCCAACGAGGGGGACCAGGCUCACUUUGGUCUCAGUCACCGCCUCUUCCUCUGAGCCCACUACCAUCCAGCCCCUCCCUUGGCCCGUCCCCGCCUAGGGCGCGACCCUGGCGCUUUCCUUACUCUCAGGGAACUAGAGUUGUUUGGGGCGGCGCCCUCGGAGACACUCAUACAGUUGGUUCUUCACGCUCCUCACACGCUCCGAACAACAGCCGUCCGAGGGAACUCCCAGCUUUUUCCACGGCUAAUUAUAGACGGGAAAGUCUGAGGAUGCUUUGCAAGCGGCGGAGAGAAACUGCUGAGGUUUCUCCACAAAGCCCAAGACCUUUCGGAUGGACACUCCCCCUUCCCACCGCCCCCCUGCCCCUUCCCCCACCCCAGCCCCUCCUCCCUUCGAAAGAUUUCUUACCCUCUCCCUCUCUCUUUUAUCUCUCUUUAGGGCUUUCAACAAAGGGGACAGACUCGGAAAAUACUUUUUUUUUUUUUUUUUUUUGCAACAGUUUUCCAUUCUCCGUCUCAUUCCCAAGCCGAGGGGGAGGAAGGGGAGGGCAGGAGCGGAUGGUGGUGGUGGGGGGUGGACCCGGGAAAUGCUUUUUCCAGAAGCUUAAUCUGGAUGUGAAAAAGAGUCCCACCACCUCCCCACACACAGAGACAGCCCCCGCCCCCAACCCCGGAAUGUCAAAAACUAGGCAGACAGAAAGAAAGCACUUGUUUGAUGCUACAGUUUUUCAGAACUGAGUCUAGGGAAGAAAUAUGGUCUUGGGCAAAUCUGUACACACGCACACACAGCUCACACACGCACGCGCGCGCACGCACACCCCGAACCUAGUGAGCAGAAAUACGCAAGGGAGGAGAAACAGGCUGAAACAGGAGAGUUUUAGGAGCCAUGGAGAGGGAAGAAAGCAACAAAGUUUGCCAAUUGCCGUCCAAUUCAUUCUCUG